GGGGGGACGGAGAAGGCUAGGUGGGCCUGGCGACGGUUGUCCAGGUUCAAGUGCGUAGGCUUAAGAGUUAGGUAAAUCCGGCUCUUUUUAAGGCUGAGACACGACGUCGAGCAUCUACGGAUGUGAAGUCAUUGAUGCCAUGCUUCCAGGAAAAGCCUCUAAGCUUCAGAUUGUAAGGAAUCGUACCCCAAACCGACACAGGUGGUCGGGUAGAGAAUACCAAGGCGCUUGAGAGAACUCGGGUGAAGGAACUAGGCAAAAUGGUACCGUAACUUCGGGAGAAGGUACGCUCUUGAUGGUGAAGUCCCUUGCGGAUGGAG
rnacentral:rRNA from 1 species